rnacentral:lncRNA from 1 species
CCUCAGCUAACCUCCGCUCCAACUCCUGUGCUUUCUCCUUAGUCAAAACAUCCCAUCUAAUCCGCGGUUGUCCCCGAGCACCUCUCCUCUUCCUCUUCACCCAGAGACCGACAUCUCACUAGGAGUCUAUGAAGAGUCGAAAGGGACUCUCCCGGAAUAACCUUGCAGUCCUUGCACAUACCCCUAUCGCUCCUUCUGAGGAGAGGGUAAUCAAUCUGAGUCCUCGCUGCCGAACUCUUGAAGG